CACGCUAACGGCCGCCGCGCCGCGGCCUCAGCGCCUGUCCCCAGAGCAAGGCGCGCGCAGGCUUCUCUCGCCGCAGCCCAAGUCGGGGCGUGAGGCGCUUGCAGGACCCCCCCCGCCCAUAGUUUACCUUCCACCCAGGCAGCGGCUCCUCCUCCUGUCAGUGAGACCAGGGAACCCUGACUCUUGUGGAAAAAGGUUAACACAGACCAACUGAACACAGACCAGCUGUGACAGAUCACAGGAACUGGACCUCAAAAUGUAUACAAAGAGCAAAGUUCAAGAAACAGUUCCUUUCAGGCAUCUCUUUGGAGUGAAGAGGCCAUCUCUUGAGCCAGCUGAAGACCAUAUGGAGAGGCUUCCAGGGCCUUUUAUAUUCUCUCUCUUGUGGGUGGAAACCUCUUUGUUCUUCUAUGCAAAAUCAGAGCACCAAGAUGGAGUUUGUAGCCAUCUGGGUAGAGUCUCCACACCCUAUCCUAUAAAAACAGAAGACAAGAUGGAAUGACAUCUAGGUGACAUCAAGGCCAGCUCUGCUAUCACAGGAAAUCAAUCAUAUGGGAUACUCCCACUGUCUCAGUCUAUGAUGCUCUUCCUUGGUAACAAAGUUCGAGUGUGCUGUGUUGCUGUCCCUUUUUGUUCCCUACCUGCAAAAAAAGUUUUGAUGAUUAAAAGAAAAUAGAAACCUUCCUGUCUUCAAUGUUGCCAUCACAAUAAGGCAACACAAAUCUAUGAAAAUUAGUGUUGAGGUUUUUAAGGCUAAGAACUAAUUCCCCAUUUCCCUGGUGACGAGUUAUUUGACUUGCUGCGAGGGAACUAAAUAAAGCAAGAUUUGCAAUUUCUAGGCAUCUUGCAAGUGACAGAACUGAUAGUGUGCCACACAGUGGGGGUUAGAGGAGAGAUAAACAGUCAACAAAGUGACAGAAAAACAAGCAACGUGACAUCCAUCCUAGAUCAGUUUGAAAUUAAUUACACCCAAGUCCCUUUUGCUUUUGUGCACUUGUAAUUCCAGUUGUUUUACAUAAGCAUCAUUCAGUUGCUGUAGACAUGAUUGUUCUUGCAAGUAACAAGACUGCGUCCCUGUGGCUCUAUAUUAAUGUAAUUUUAACUUCCUAUUACUAGAGACAAAGGUGUAUACUCAAAAUAAUUCAUGAAUUUUUUGCAAAUAAAAUACUCCCUUGAAA